AUGAAGUUGUUGUUGCGUCAGAGGAAGACAGUUUCUCGCAGUGGACUUGGUGGUUGUUGUUUCGGAGAUUCUGCGCAGUUGGUCACGGCUGAGUCUGCAGAGGCUGUUUCAGAUUCGCCGGUGGCCGGAGUGUGCGAAUCUGGUGAUGGUUGGCUGCAAGACACCGUUUCUGACGACGACAAUUGA